UAGGGAAUCUUCCGCAAUGGACGAAAGUCUGACGGAGCAACGCCGCGUGAGCGAAGAAGGCCUUCGGGUCGUAAAGCUCUGUUGUAAGGGAAGAACAAGCAUCGGUUAACUGCCGGUGCCCUGACGGUACCUUACCAGAAAGCCCCGGCUAACUACGUGCCAGCAGCCGCGGUAAUACGUAGGUGGCAAGCGUUGUCCGGAAAUAUUGGGCGUAAAGCGCGCGCAGGCGGUCCUUUAAGUCUGAUGUGAAAGCCCACGGCUCAACCGUGGAGGGUCAUUGGAAACUGGGGGACUUGAGUGCAGAAGAGGAAAGCGGAAUUCCACGUGUAGCGGUGAAAUGCGUAGAGAUGUGGAGGAACACCAGUGGCGAAGGCGGCUUUCUGGUCUGUAACUGACGCUGAGGCGCGAAAGCGUGGGGAGCAAACAGG
rnacentral:rRNA from 1 species